ACACCUGCAUUGGGCACCUGAACUUUCUUUGUUCCAUACCCUCUACUCUUGGUACCUCAGGUUUGGGUGACCUCUAUUAGUGGAUCUUUUCUCCUGUGACUCGGUAAUUGCGAAUAGCCAGGUCUCUCUCAAUGAGAGUUUGGAGGAGGGGGAACUAUUACCCUUGUCUUUAUAUUUCUCUCAUUCCUACCUAUCUCUCUAUGCCUGUUUCCUCUUCUACAAAACUGGGAUAAUAAUAGUUAUCCAUAGGAUUAUUAGUGAAGACUAAAUGAGUUAAUGCAUAUGAAGAAGCUAGAACAGUGUCAGGCACUAUCAAAAUUUUGCUGUGGUUGUUAUUAACAGUAUUGUUAGUAUUAUUACUGCCCUGGCUUGAGCUCAGUCAAGAAUGGCAUGUGGCCAAUUCUCAGCUACAGUUAAUAGUAGUUUAUAGUUAAUAAAAGCCAACUGAAGAGGGAGAAUUCAAAUAUAUUCAUUCAGUAAUUUUUGUGAUAUCCACUAUGUGCUAGGCACAGUGUUAUUUACUGACAACUUUCUAUGAUCUAAUAAAGCCAGAGGAGCUGUGUUCAAACAAUAAUUAAAAGCAUCAUAAAGAUGAACUCAGAGUUUAAUGUAAAGAAUGCCUAGACCCUUGGUCAGUGGCAUGAAUGGCAUUUCCUUGCCUACCUUGGCUGAAGCAAGGGUCCCCUUCCCAACUGAAUUCUUACUCUUUUAACUGACAACACUUACACUUUGUUCUCUUCUCUGCUUGAGAUUUUUUACAGUUUCAUCCUAUUUCUCCUCUGGAUUUCCCCCCUACACAACCACAAUGCUUCAUUUGUUUAGAUCAGUUUAAUCAUUUUCCAGGCAUGGUGAACAGUUUUCCUAUGUGCUUCUUAUUCUCUUCACCAUAGUUCUCGACAUCUAUUGGUUCUAUAAGUUGAUUCAGCCUAGUGGAUGUAUUUGGUGUUUUAAGUUGUGUCAGGUAUGGAGUUAAAAGGUAAAUAUUAAGCUGUUCUUUUCCUUGAGGAGCCCUAUAGUUCCAUGUGGAAGAGACAGGCCCCAAAGUAGGGCAUCUCAGUAUGUUAUGGGGAGUCUGAACGCACAGUAUGCUUUGGCAUCCAUCCAUGUCACAGCUUCCCCUCCACCCCCGUUUCUCAUUACAACACGUACUGCCCAUUAUGUGAAAACCUGGUAUUCUUGACUCACAAUCUGUAGGCGUUACACUCUGUUUUAUACUCUGAGUUUUUUCCAGUACUGGUAAUGGGUUGUACUGAAUCAUUUAUUUACAUUUCCUUGGCCAGUUUAUUUUGACACAUGACAUGUAUUUACUGAUGGAGAAAACACAUGCAGUUUGUGGAUAUGGUGUAAUAUUUUUCCUUUGGAAAUAGAAGAGAGACCUCACUUAAGUUUUACUGGAUGAAUAGUCACCUUGAUGUUUUUAAAUGGUUUCAAAGCAGUACAUGCUGCACUAUCCCUUCUGUGCUUAUUUACAUACAUGUAGACACAUACAUGUUACAAAGAAUAGGAAGAAGAUAGUAAUAUAUAUAUAAUGUACUAUUUGAAUAAUAUUUGAAGCAAAGGAAAACAAGUGGCACAUCACUAAUUUGGACUCUUUCACAUGUUUAUUACCAUAUUUAUUUAUUGAGACUAAGCAUCCAUGCCUUCAUUAAUCCUUAGUGCUUGCUAUGAAAUUAUUUCUUGUUCCACAUAUUUUUAAUCAAUCUGGAUCCAAGUUCAGUCAAUAUUUAAUACACUGUAGGAAUUUCUUUCACUUUAUUGAAUUUGCAUUGCUCAUCUAGUUCUAGAAUAACUUAUUUUCUUAUAGUUAUUGUGCCUAUAAUUCUGUUAUUUCCUCAAGAAGAGUAGGGAUAUCUAGCUAUGACUUGGUGGGACCACAGAUUAGAUCUUUCCAUCUUAGGUUAUGUAGCAGUAACAUUAGCACAUGAUCCAACUUCUUACACGGUGCUUUGGCCAAGAUGUUACUCUUAGUUUUUCUCCCAUCUCUCUGAGUGGUACUUUUGGCAUGGUUUUGUAGCCUUUGGUCCCUCUGCUGGUGUCUCCAGUGUUCCCCAGGAUUUUCUCCUUGGCCCAUUUCUAUCUAUCUUCUUCUUAUACAUGCUCCAUUUGUCAUCUCAUUCACUCUCAUGACUUUAAGUAACACCCAUAAGAUUUUUUUUCUUAGCCACACCUGAGGCCAGGGAUCGAAACCAAGAUCUGAGCAGUGACCCAAGCUGCUGUAGUGACAACACAAAUCCUUAACCCACUGAGCCAUAAGAGAAUUCCAAAUGCCCAUAAGAUACUGAAUGCCUGAUAUGUAUUUCCAGGCUGGAUCUUUUCAGCUUCCUAAGGAAAUCACCAGGACCUCGCAAUGGCGCUACAAGCCCUACCUGACUCUAUUGAAAUCUGUCACUUGUUCCUCCUCCUUGUCCCCUUCAUGGUGAAGCAGCAUUUCUCUACAGAGAAACCAAAGUCACUUGUGAUGCUCUUUCUCUUUCACCUUCCACAUGAAAUCCUAUCAUUCAACCCAAGUGCACCUCCCCUGUUCUUUCUGAUUUCCUGACACUGCUUAACUCAAAGCCUUUCUCAUCCCUUACCUGAAAGACUGACAGACUCUCUCUUUCAUUUCUUACUUCUACUACCCACAUUGCCAUGAGUACCAACUUUCAAACAUGUACCUCCUUCAUUCUGAGUCAUGCCCAUGGGCUGUAGGAUAAAGUUCAAACUCUCCAGCAGGACCUACAAAGCACUCUUCCACAUCUGGCUGAGCAAUCAGCCUCAUCUCCUAGUUCAGGUCUCCUCAUGAUGCUCAGACAAGUCCUUUGCCCCAGACACUUCACCUUUUCCCAAUAUGGUCUUUGCCCUUUUAUUUUUUUGUAUUUUGUUCAUGCUAUUUAUUCUCUGUGGACUGCCCUCCCUCUUCCCUCUUCUCUGCUGAGAAAACUCUUCCUCAUUUUUUUUUGUCUUUUUUUUUUUUUUUUUUUUAGGGCCACACCUGUGGCAUAUGGAGGUUCCCAGGCUAGGGGUCCAAUCAGAGCAGUAGCAGUCAGCCUAUACCACAGCCACAGCAAUGCCAGAUCCUAGCCACAUCUGCAACCUACACCACAGCUCAACACCGGAUCCUUAACCCACUGAGUGAGGCCAGGAAUGGAACCCACAACCUCAUGGUUCCUAGUCGGAUUUAUUUCCACUGCGCCACGACAGGAACACCUCUUCCUCCUUUUUUAGGGCUCAUUGCAGAUCUCACCUGCUUGAGAUGCCUUUUCCAGGCUUCCCACUCUGUGGGCUGCUCCUCACACUGUGCCUCCACAUCACUCUGUACUGACCUUGGAUAUGUUCAACACCAGAACUCAGUAGUGCACUCAUUUAUCUCUUUUAUAACUAAACUUUGAGCUCUGGUUGGAUAGGAAACUUCAAGUCAUCCAACAUUUUUUCAAUUACCCAACGCAGUCCCUGUCAUAUACAAGACUCCCUCAACUGUAGACCAAAGAAGUAAACUUUAUAGUAAUAGUUAAAGAAAUAUCAAGAAAAGCAUUUUGUGUGUUUUUUUUUUCUCAUGCCCGUCCUCAGCUGUAUCAGUCACUCAUUUGUCCAUCUUUCGGUUUCCUCCGUCUCCUUUAAUACUACUUUCUCAUCUUUCUUUCAGGUAUGGGCCUUCAGUAUUGCAAAGCAUUAGAACCGGGUAUAUCUGCAGUUUCCUGGUGGUUUGGAGUGUUAAUAUUUUAAACACCUUUGAGUUUAAUAGCCUGUCUUUCUCUAAACUAGACCUGUCAGUGAGAGUGCCAAGUGCCUCCUCAGUUCUCCCACCUCUGAAACGCCCUAGCUGUUCAAUCCUAAUUGGAAACAUUUUAGGGGUAGAAGUGGCUUUUUGUUACUCUAAAUUUCUGUUAACCUAAGGGAUGGCUUUGCAUCACAUUCAUAUGCCUUGUGGUUGCCACCUUUUUAUUUUUUGUGUGGCCAAAAUUCAUAAAUCAAGAUCAGAACACCCAGUUUUUCUCAAAUCAUCCUAAGCUGUCAUGAUCUUAUUUUUUUCCAAUCAGAAUGAGAUUUUUCUCACAAGCUGUGAUUCUUACUCCACCAACUCCUCCUUCCUGAUAGAAACUUCAUAUAUAUUGAAGGGGCUUUGUGUGUUCUAUUAUUAUUAAAGCUAUAUUUUGUCAGAUUAAUGCUGUCUGUUCACAAAGAAGCAUUGCCAUUUUCUUCUCAAUGUAAUUGGGCAGGGGUUGAAUGCCUUUAUAAACAAAAAUAUAAAACAAUUCUUAACAUAUUCUGAUAAAUAAUAUAGUCCCAAAAGAUAUUUCCUUUGUGAUAAAUUGAACUCUAAUUCAUGAAUUUUUAAAUUGUUCCUUCCUGCUAUAGACAUGAAUUUCUAAAGUGUGUGUGUGUGUGUGUGUGUGUAGACAUUAAUUAUUGUCAGGGUGGGGAGUAGAGCAAAUUGUGGCCCUAAAUUUCUUUUAAUAAUAAUUUAUAUAUCCAUGUCUCCUUUCUUUUCCAAAUCUGGCUUCCUUAUUAUUUUAAUGGUUUCUAGCUUUACUACUAAUGCAUGAACUUGACUUUUCUAAAUCAUCUUUUUAAAUGGAAAGUAAAAGCUGUGAAAUGCAAAAACACUUUCAAGUUAACAAUAGUAAGUUAAUAUUUAUUGAACACUUACCAUGUGCCAGACACUCGAAUAAGCACUUUAUAUAUACUGUCUCCUUUGGUCAAGAAUUAUAAUCCAAAUGCAAACACUAAAUGAAAUACUUAAAAGCAAAGGGAGUUCCUCUUGUGGCUCAGCAGAAACGAAUCCAACUAGGAACCAUGAGGUUGGGGGUUCGAUUCCUGGCCUUACUCAGUGGGCUAAGGAUCCGGUGUUGCCAUGAGCUGUGGUGUAGGUCACAGACACAGCUUGAAUCUGGCAUUGCUGUGGCUGUGGCGUAGGCCGGUGGCUAUGGCUCCGAUUAGACUCCAAGCCUGGGAACCUCCAUAUGCCAUGGGUGCGACCCU
rnacentral:lncRNA from 1 species